rnacentral:rRNA from 1 species
GACGAACGCUGGCGGCGUGCUUAACACAUGCAAGUCGAACGGAAAGGCCCUGCUUUUGUGGGGUGCUCGAGUGGCGAACGGGUGAGUAACACGUGAGUAACCUGCCCUUGACUUUGGGAUAACUUCAGGAAACUGGGGCUAAUACCGGAUAGGAGCUCCUGCUGCAUGGUGGGGGGUGGAAAGUUUCGGCGGUUGGGGAUGGACGCGCGGCUUAUCAGCUUGGUGGUGGGGUAGUGGCUUAACAAGGCUGUGACGGGUAGCCGGCCUGAGAGGGUGACCGGCCACAUUGGGACUGAGAUACGGCCCAGACUCCUACGGGAGGCAGCAGUGGGGAAUAGUGCACAAUGGGCGGAAGCCUGACGCAGCAACGCCGCGUGCGGGAUGACGGCCUUCGUGUUAUAAACCGCUUUCGCCUGUGACGAAGCGUGAGUGACGGUAAUGGGUAAAGAAGCACCGGCUAACUACGUG